rnacentral:hammerhead_ribozyme from 1 species
GCAUUACUGAAGAGUCCCAAACAGGACGAAACAGCUGUCCAGUGU